rnacentral:lncRNA from 1 species
CUUUAACUAUUCAUUUUUUCCAAAAAAAUCAGCCUUUCGCAUGCUUAAUUAAUGCCUUUACCUAAUUUGCAUAUUGCUGACAUAUGCAAAUUAGGCAAAGGCAUUAUUAAUUAAGCAUGCAAAUAGCUGAUUUUGUAGGAAAAAACGUAAGUUUGCGUUAAUAGUUAAAGGGCUUAGACUAAUGCAAAUUGUCUGAAAUUUUGUACAGUAAAUAAAACCCAACAAAUGUUCCAUCUAUUAACUCAAAAUAUGAUUAAAGCUUUUAAAUUUUGUGCGCAAGCCAGUUUUUUGUUUGUUUGAAAAGACACCCCCUGGUUCACAAAAUUUGAGUUUGGAAAAUUUUUUUUCAUUAUUCUACAUUAUAAGUACCCAAAUAUGCAAAAUUGAGAGCACAUUCAUGCGAUGAGAGCACAACCCUUUUGCAAAAUUGCGGUGUCCGUUACUCCGUGCUAAGUUUAUCACAGCUACCACGGCAGACGGUCUGGUUUUAUGCACCCAAGUGACUCAACGAGGACAAAAAUACCGUCGUUCGAAUCAGCGUACGAAAUUGUGCAUACGGUUGCCAAAUUCAUUACUAAACAGCAGUAUUCUAGCGAUUUAGGGCCUUUGAAAGUCAAGCGAAAUUGUAUUGUUGACAAUUGACAAAUCGCUCAAAAUUAUUAGAACUAAUUAAAAAUGCAGUAGGUUUGAUCCUUGAUAACUUUCGUGUUGUUAAUUUUCUCUUUUUCGAC